rnacentral:lncRNA from 10 species
CGACUUUGCUCUUAACAUGCAGAGGAGCCAGAGGCGGGAGCUGGGAGAAGAGAGACUGUUAGGAGGCUGCUGAAAUAGUCCAGGCGAGAGAUCUUGAAGCCCUGAACGUCAAUAUGUGCGGCACGAAGAGGAAGAAUCGAAUCUGAGCCAUUUGGUAUUUGCAAUGGAAAGGACCUCCUAACAGGAGGGGUGAGAUGUGGGAGGAGGAUUUCCAGGCUUUUCAGUUGGCUUGUGACACUACCCAAGACAGGAAGAGAGAGUGAAGUGUCGUUUUGGGCAUGUUGUUUUGAAUUUGUGCAGGCUCAAGUGUGCCUGGCAAGAAGGCCAAACUGAAAACACCUUCCACAGCUCUGGGGCCUAACGUUGAAUUUCCAUCUUCAGCCGCACGUUUUCCAGGUGAGCUUCUCAAGCAGGAUAAAUUCCUGCAGAAGCACAGAAAUCUCAGGAGUCCCAAGGUUCCUAGCAAAUUAGAAUCUUGAGGUAGGAGAGGAGCCAGGCCCCACCCCAGAAGCCCAGUAGGAACUGGCACCAAGAGAAAAUCGACAAUAAAAGCAAUUGGUGAUUUGUGCCAUCAGAAGAUAGGCUGGCCAGGACAGGUCAAGGAGAAUGAGACAAGUUACAGCAAAUUUUAAUACAAUUGCUCUGAUUCUAGGUAAUUUCAGGAUAGCAUAAUAGAAUUAUUUUACACUUGAAGAUACUUUGGGAUGCAUGAACAUAAAGCCUCUGCCAUUUGCACUGUUUCAUUUACUGAACACCAAUCCUAUUAGUUUGCUCUAUAUUACAGUUAUUAUCCCCAUUUUAUGGAUGCAGAAAGUGGAGGGCAGACAGGUUAAAUGAUCUCCCUCAAAUCGCCUACCGGGUAAGUGGCAUAUCUGGGAUUUGGAAGCAGCCUGUCUGACUCCAGAGGCUGCCCUCUUAGCCACAGGCUCCACCAGCACGUGUAUGUGACUGACACAUGUGGAUGGCACUUUGUACCGCCAAAAGUACUCUCUUAUAUUUAUGUCCUCCAAAUAGACAGAAACAGGGCCAAGAUGAAACCUUUAGCCCGAGAUGGCUUUUUACAG